rnacentral:tRNA from 1 species
GCGGGUAUGACGAAAUUGGUAGACGUGUUAGAUUUAGGAUCUAGUGGAUAAAACCGUGCAAGUUCAAGUCUUGCUACCCGCA